GCCAGUGCCUUCAACAUCCACAGCUAUCCAUGUGCUUUCAGCUGUACCACAAUACCUUUUGUGCUCUAUAUAGUCGCAUAGCCUGCUAAGUGGAGAAGCUUCAGGGGGGAGUGCCCACACAGCCCAGCUGAAUGCAGAAAGUGUGGAGGCAGGACGAAAGAAAGCGUAAGGAACUGAUCCCCAGUGAACAAAAAUCCCUAAUUAUAGAUGAAAAGGAAGUGAUGGUCCAGGCAAAGAGCCGUGGAUCUGUGGUGGCUCUCUGUGUGAGACAGGAAACCAGGAAUUGCCUGCUGCCCUUGUCCCAUGUUCCUCCCCUGUGCUGUCGUCUAUGAGCCUUUGGAAGAUACCGCUGUAGCUUUCUGCAGAGCCAUCUUGUAAAUUGAUCCCAGGCCUACUUGAUCUUGUCCAUUUGGCACUGCUGGAGGAAUAACAAGUUUCUUCCCGUCAUGCACCAUUCUGGGAUACAUCAUGACAGAGAAAUCUCAAAGCCCAGGUCAAUUAUAACAGAAGAUGUGUAGCACCUCUGCCCCCACAGCGUCUUCUGGGGAGCUACUUGGCAAAAUGAUAUAAAACUAUUUCCGAAGACUUCCCAUGAUCUGGCGCUGCUUAGAACUAAGUCACCGGCAAAAUGUAAGGAAAUAUGCACAUGCACCACUGCUCACCUUCCUGCUUGUUUACUAGAGUCCACUGCUGUAACAUGUGUGGGGAGGGGGCCAGGGC